GCCGAAGUGGUGGAACUGGUAGACACGCUAUCUUGAGGGGGUAGUGGCGCAAGCCGUGCGGGUUCGACUCCCGCCUUCGGCA
rnacentral:tRNA from 1 species